AAGUCGUAACAAGGUCUCCGUUGGUGAACCAGCGGAGGGAUCAUUAAAGAGUUGCAAAACUCCCAAACCAUUGUGAACAUACCUUCAACGUUGCUUCGGCGGGUUGGCCCCGGUCUCCGGGGUCCCCGGCCCUACUCGGGCGCCCGCCGGAGGUAUCUAACUCUUGAACUUUUAUGGCCUCUCUGAGUCUUUGUACUUAAUAAGUCAAAACUUUCAACAACGGAUCUCUUGGUUCUGGCAUCGAUGAAGAACGCAGCGAAAUGCGAUAAGUAAUGUGAAUUGCAGAAUUCAGUGAAUCAUCGAAUCUUUGAACGCACAUUGCGCCCGCCAGUAUUCUGGCGGGCAUGCCUGUUCGAGCGUCAUUUCAACCAUCAAGCCCCCGGCUUGUGUUGGGGACCUGCGGCUGCCGCAGGCCCUGAAAACCAGUGGCGGGCUCGCUAGUCACUCCGAGCGUAGUAAUACAUCUCGCUCAGGGCGUGCUGCGGGUUCCGGCCGUUAAAAAGCCUUAUUUACCCAAGGUUGACCUCGGAUCAGGUAGGAAGACCCGCUGAACUUA
rnacentral:rRNA from 1 species